rnacentral:tRNA from 1 species
GGGAAUGUGGCUUAGUGGUAAAGCGCUUGCCUAACAUACAUGAAACCUUGGGUUCGAUUCCUCAGUAUCA